rnacentral:rRNA from 1 species
CUGGCGGCAGGCUUAACACAUGCAAGUCGAACGCGUGUAGCAAUACACGAGUGGCGCACGGGUGAGUAACGCGUGGAUAUCUGCCUUUUGGUUCGGAAUAACCCCGGGAAACUGGGGCUAAUACCGGAUGGUUCCUUCGGGAUAAAGAUUUAUCGCCAAAAGAUGAGUCCGCGUACGAUUAGCUAGUUGGUGAGGUAAUGGCUCACCAAGGCGACGAUCGUUAGCUGGUCUGAGAGGACGAUCAGCCACACUGGGACUGAGACACGGCCCAGACUCCUACGGGAGGCAGCAGUGGGGAAUAUUGGACAAUGGGGGCAACCCUGAUCCAGCCAUGCCGCGUGAGUGAUGAAGGCCUUCGGGUUGUAAAGCUCUUUUGGCGGGGACGAUGAUGACGGUACCCGCAGAAUAAGCCCCGGCUAACUUCGUGCCAGCAGCCGCGGUAAGACGAAGGGGGCUAGCGUUGUUCGGAAUUACUGGGCGUAAAGCGAGUGUAGGUGGUUGUUCAAGUUGGAUGUGAAAGCCUUGAGCUCAACUCAAGAAAUGCAUUCAGGACUGAGCGACUAGAGGACCGGAGAGGAUAGUGGAAUUCCCAGUGUAGUGGUGAAAUACGUAGAGAUUGGGAAGAACACC